AAGAAAAAAAAGGGGGGAAAUCAAAAGAAAACAGAAAAACUACUGUUUCAUUACAUUUCAAUCCAUCCCAUUUUUCCUUCCCAAACAACCCGACAAGGGAUUUUGACCCAUGACAGAAUUUUUUUCACAUAAACAAACUCAAUUGCAAUUAAAAACUUCAAUUCAAUUCAAAUCCAUCUAGAAAUCUGAUUUUUAUACUCAAACCCACCCAUGAACUCUAACUCUAAAAUGGAUUAUCCUUGCUCAAUCAAACUCAUAUUCAUAGAAAAUUCAUUUCUCAACCAAAAUCACCCAAUAACCCAUUUUUGAUAAUUCAAUUCCAUCAAUUCAUUUGGGCAGAAAUUGAAACUCAACUAUGGCUAUAAAUAGCCAUGUUCAUCUCCUCAAACCAUUCACUCAAACCACUUGAGUCUUCGCCGGAAACCCACUAAACCUCGCCGGAAAAAGCCACCCAAAACUCCCCCAAAGCUUCUGUUUUUUUUACUUGCUCCUCUGUUUCGGGUCAGCCACCGCAGCCCCACCGCGGCGCCGCCGUAUUCCUGCGCCUUUUGUGCGCCACCACCACACCUAACCACCGUCUCCUUCUCUCUCCUCUCGCCCGUACCUUCUUUCUCUUUCUUCUCUCUCGCGCCCCAUCUCUCUCUCUCGUGUUUCGCUCUCUCUCCUCGUGCGCCGGCGGAGCCACGCCAGAACCGCCGGAAUCCCGCGCCCCAGCCACGCUGCCGUGCCGUUGCUGCCGGAGCUUCAGUCCACCGCCCACCUCUCUUCCUCCCCUGUUUUCGUGACUGCUCAGUUGAGCAGGAGAUUAAACGGAAAGGAUAUUACAGCCUCCCCCGGCUCUCAAGUUAUUACGCAGGAACCGAGGUACUGAUGAAGAUGACGGGAUGGCGUAGAAGUGAGGAUGGCCAACUACUUUACAUUAUGAAAACUAUAUUGGUUAUGUAAUCUAAAUCUAUGAUCACUAGAACAUGAACUUAGUUUAACUAUAACUACGUAAUCAUCUAUGCUUAUAUAUUUAUAUUAAUAUGAUUAA